rnacentral:rRNA from 1 species
ACCUGGUAGUCCACGCCGUAAACGAUGAGUGCUAAGUGUUAGGGGGUUUCCCCCCUUAGUGCUGCAGCUAACGCAUUAAGCACUCCGCUGGGGAGUACGACCGCAAGGUUGAAACUCAAAGGAAUUGACGGGGGCCCGCACAGCGGUGGAGCAUGUGGUUUAAUUCGAAGCAACGCGAAGAACCUUACCAGGUCUUGACAUCCUUUGACCACUCUAGAGAUAGAGCUUUCCCUUCGGGGACAAAGUGACAGGUGGUGCAUGGUUGUCGUCAGCUCGUGUCGUGAGAUGUUGGGUUAAGUCCCGCAACGAGCGCAACCCUUAUUGUUAGUUGCCAUCAUUAAGUUGGGCACUCUAGCGAGACUGCCGGUGACAAACCGGAGGAAGGUGGGGAUGACGUCAAAUCAUCAUGCCCCUUAUGACCUGGGCUACACACGUGCUACAAUGGACAGUACAAUGAGCAGCGACACGGCGACGUGAAGCGAAUCUCAUAAAGCUGUUCUCAGUUCGGAUUGUAGGCUGCAACUCGCCUACAUGAAGCCGGAAUCGCUAGUAAUCGCGGAUCAGCACGCCGCGGUGAAUACGUUCCCGGGCCUUGUACACACCGCCCGUCACACCACGAAAGUUUGUAACACCCGAAGUCGGUGAGGUAACCGCAAGGAGCCAACCGCCUAAGGUGGGAUAGAUGAUUGGGGUGAAGUCGUAACAAGGUAACCAAGGGCGAAUUCUG